rnacentral:lncRNA from 10 species
CCCAAUGAUAUGCCUUCAUAUGUUUGAUUCAGGACCUUAUUUGAACAUUGCAGGGGAAAUUAAAAGAGCCAAAUGCUGUGUCUUAGGAGAUACACCAUGUAUUCGGAGAAUGCCAUCUUAUGGUCUCAAUAGGAAAGGCCAUGUGUGGACACAGCAAGAAGGCGGCCAUUUGCAAGUCAGGAAGAAACCCCUCACCAGAACUUGACCAUGACGUCACCCUGAUCUUGGACUUCUAGCCUCCCGAUCUGUGAAAAAAUAAAUUUCUGUUGUUUAAGCCACCUAGUCUUUAGUUACGGCCGCCAGAACAGACUGAUACUCCAGUGAACUAACCACAAUCUAUGUUAAGGCUGGAGAUCCAGAACAAAAGUAUGUGACAGAACAUCAGACUGUUGCCAGACUAAUCCACCAAGGAUGCUGAGAUUUU